UACGGGGGGGGCAAGCGUUGUUCGGAAUUACUGGGCGUAAAGGGCUCGUAGGCGGCCAACUAAGUCAGACGUGAAAUCCCCAGGCUCAACCUGGGAACUGCGUCUGAUACUGGAUGGCUCGAGUUCGGGAGAGGGAAGCGGAAUUCCAGGUGUAGCGGUGAAAUGCGUAGAUAUCUGGAGGAACACCGGUGGCGAAGGCGGCUUCCUGGACCGACACUGACGCUGAGGCGCGAAAGCUAGGGGAGCAAACGGG
rnacentral:rRNA from 1 species